UGGGGUAUAGUUCAGUGGUAGAAUAUGUGCUCAGCAUGCAUGAGGCUCUGGGUUGAGUCCCCAGCACCAGAA
rnacentral:tRNA from 1 species